rnacentral:ncRNA from 1 species
AAAAGACUUAGUCCUAACCUUACCAUUAAUUUUUGCCAGACCUAUACAUGCAAGUAUCUGCGCCCCAGUGUAAAUGCCCCUAACCCCCUGCCAGGAUAAGAGGAGCAGGUAUCAGGCACACCCCUCCCUGUAGCCCAAGACACCUUGCUUAGCCACACCCCCACGGGUAUUCAGCAGUAACUGACAUUAAGCAAUGAGCGUAAGCUCGACUUAGUCAUGGCAACCCUAGGGUCGGUAAAUCUUGUGCCAGCCACCGCGGUCAUACAAGAAACCCAAAUUAAUCGUUCACGGCGUAAAGAGUGACUCAACACUAUCGCCCCACCUGAGGCCAAAACAUGUCUGAGCUGUCAUAAGCCCAAGACACACCUAAGCCCCCACCCUCCUCAACUCCAGCGAUCAACCGAUCUCACGAAAGCCAGGGGACAAACUGGGAUUAGAUACCCCACUAUGCCUGGCCGUAAAUUCAAAUGCUUUUCCCUCACCCAAGCAUUCGCCAGGGAAUUACGAGCACAAACGCUUAAAACCCUAAGGACUUGGCGGUGUCCCAAACCCACCUAGAGGAGCCUGUUCUAUAAUCGAUAACCCACGCUACACCCAACCCCCCCUUGCCCACAAACAGCCUACAUACCGCCGUCGCCAGCCCACCUCACCUGAGAGCCCAACAGUGAGCACAACAGCCCUACCCGCUAAAAAGACAGGUCAAGGUAUAGCCCAUGAGGGGGAAAGAAAUGGGCUACAUUUUCUGACCCAGAAAAUCAACGAAAGAGGACCUGAAAACCUGUCCUCAGAACGCGGAUUUAGCAGUAAGACAUGACCAUCACGCUUGUCUUAAACCGGCCCUGGGACACGUACAUACCGCCCGUCACCCUCCUCACAAGCAACCCCCCCCCCCCCCACCAUUAAACCCACAACCCGCCAAAGAUGAGGUAAGUCGUAACAAGGUAAGUGUACCGGAAGGUGCACUUAGCACAU